UGUAAAAGUUUCUUUGGGUUGAAUGGAGAUUGUCUCUCGAGUGCAAAGGCAGAAGAGAGUUUGACUACAAGAUCCACUCAUUGAGCAAGGAUGACAAUCGGCCUUAGU
rnacentral:rRNA from 1 species